AUCUUGCGCGCCGCGGCCGCGCGCUGGGUCACACGGGGGCGCCCCGCGCCGGGGAGGGCCCGGGUCCCGGCGGGUUCCGCGAGCGGCGAUCGGCCUCCCGGGCUCGCCCGGGCGGGGCUCUGGAGGACGAACGGCGGCUCCCGGCGUUGGGGACAGAGGGCAGGGCGGAGGCCCGGGCUGCUCGGAAAGGGGCCGGGGCCGGGCCUUCCGAAAGCUCCUGGGCGGCCCUGCCGGAACCCUGCUCUCCACUGCGGCCUGCAGGGCUGUUACCAGGAGCCCUGCCUGCCCGCCCCACGUCUAGCCCCCUGCACACGGCAGCAGCCUUGAGCCAUUCAGUCUCCUUAGGUGUCCUGAAAUAUGCCGAGAACGCUGCCCGCCACAGCCGUGAGUGUAUGCGUUGCUGCUGCCCCAGCCCUCAUUUGGCAAGGGUGAGCUCAGGCAGCUGUGGUGAAGGCUUCCUGAGCCCGCCGGCAGAGCUCCUGCCACCCCGUACCUGUCCCCUCCUGGGCAUCGUCCUUGAUUACUUGUCUGGACCGCCACCCCCGGUCCCCGCCCUGAGAUGGGGAAGACCCCACAAGCAGCAACGCAGACUUACUCUUUUGUUUCUCCAGCUGGAUGUCUCCUCCAGCGACAGUUCCCCUUGCCCUCUUGAUCCUGACAGCGAAGGGGUUCCCCACCCCUAGCCCUACAGACUUAGGACUUUUCCUAGAAACGAGAAGUGCCCAAGGCCCACAGCUGGCCCCUGUUGGAGUCUCUUUCCUGAAGCCACCACCACUGUGGCCACUCCCAAGGAAGAUGCCAACCAUACCAUGAAACCCAUGGCUUCUCACGGGACAGACUUUACUGAGAUGUACCAACUCAAGUAUCUGAAAUGACUGCACACCCAUGCUAACCUCCACGGGGGCACUUGGUCCUACUUACACACAAAGGCCCAUCAGCUCACGGAACAGGGCUGGCAUACGAGAUGCUCAAUGCAUACAAGUUGACUUUUCAACCCUGGGAUCUACCUUUGAAGGCCAGGCCUUCCGAGGGUACCUUCUAGCAUGUGCAUGUGAAGCUGGACUCCUUUGAGCAGUUGUCUCCUCCAGCCCCUUACCAACCUGGUGAGGCUGCUCCUGAGAGCCAAGGAAGCCAGUAACAAGGGGGCCCCCUUUGGGCAAACCCCUCAGCCUGCCCUUGCCUGGUCAGAGAACCACGUUAGCAGUCAACAGAGGGCACGUGAGGGUCCUGGCCAGAAUGAGACACAGGAGGAGCCACAGCCUGCGGGGGUGGGGGUGUCCAAAAGCACCACAGCACAUCCAGACCUAGGGGGUGCCCCUACCAUACGGGUCUGGAGCAGGGAGGUUGUGCUGCAGGCUGACUCAUGCCAGGCCCUUCCCGUCACACGCUGGAGCAGUGUGCCUGGAGAGCACUGGCUUGGAAGAAGCUGAGGGGCCAGCGAGGCCAGCAUAUGGAGGAGGCUUCCCUUGGCCGCUCGUGGCAGGCCUGAAGGCAGCUACCUGUGUCCAGGGACAGCCAGAUCCAAUGAGGAAACGCAGCACCAUGCUGUCAUGUGAGCUGGAGGGGGACUUCUGUCUUAUAAUGAAAGCCCAGACCUUGAGUCACUUUCACAGAGAGAUUUAUCGAGAAUGCUAACAGCACAGGAUACAGUACUUCCCAACAAAAGGUGCAAACGCGUCACUUAGAAAGGCAUGCUGAGUAUUCUUUGCUUUCACAUGUAUUAAAAAACUUACAAAAAUAAAAUAAAACUGCGUGCUGCCCAUCUUUUCCAAUAGUAAAAGAACCUUAUGAAAAAAUCACU
rnacentral:lncRNA from 1 species